rnacentral:misc_RNA from 1 species
GAUGAAGAACGUAGCGAAAUGCGAUACUUGGUGUGAAUUGCAGAAUCCCGUGAACCAUCGAGUCUUUGAACGCAAGUUGCGCCCGAAGCCACUAGGCCGAGGGCACGCCUGCCUGGGCGUCACACGCCGUUGCCCCCCCAUCUACUCCUUCGGGAUUGCGGGGGGGCGGAUGAUGGCCUCCUGUGCGCCUAGCCGCGCGGUUGGCAUAAAUACCAAGUCCUCGGCGACGCACGCCAAGACAAUCGGUGGUUGCGAAACCUCGGUUGCCCGUCGUGUGCGUUCGUCGCGCAUCGAGGGCUCGAAAAAAUGCUCGGCUCCGGCUGGGCUUUCAACGCGACCCCAGGUCAGGCGGGGUUACCCGCUGAAUUUAAGCAUAUCAAUAAGCGGAGGA